AUGUUCUUAACUGAUUGUCUGGAUUUGUUUUGCUGCAUUGCAGUGCUCAUUGCCUCCAUGCCCGUGACAUGGAAGGGAGGGGAAAUAAUCCCUCACGCUUCAAGACUCUCUUUCAGUUCAGGAAACAGCCGCAGCCCUCCAGACCUGAAGCUCUCGCUGUGAUGCUCUCCUGUGAUAAAACUUGCAUAACUUUGUCAUAUCUGCUGGGUGAACUGUGAUGUCAAGUUCUCAGGAUGAAUCUCUGUCAUACCCAAGCUGAGUUGCCUCAGAAACAAGCCAUUUCAUUCCAGAUCCAUCUUGUGCUGUUGACAGGAGAGUAAAUCCUGAAGUCAGCGUUACACAGUGAAACAGGAUUUGUGAGGAAUUUGAAUUACUUGCAGAUCAAUAUACAUUUUCAGCAGUCCCUGCCUCAGGAAUGAAUACAUCAUGCCCUCAGAGACCCACCUACAACAUGCCUUAGGAGAAUUCCAUAUGAUGGAUCGCCUCCACUCUGCUUGAGUCAGUGGCCACCCUAGUGCCACCAUGUUUUUCCAGUGAUAACGGAGCAUCAUAAUCAUCUACAUGUUGAGCUUAACUAAGGUACCCUGUUGUUCAAAGCCAUGGUAUUUAUGUGGCCUGUUUUAUCUGAAAAGUCAAAUCUCAAACCCAAAGGUUAUGCCUUCAAUUCUCUUCUGAACUCUCCUUUCAAUUGAGUCUUUGUCGUAUCAGUAUUCUCUCUGUGACAUCUUAACAUUCACUAAUCUCGCAACAGCUGUCUUUAGAGACUGUUACCCACUCAAUCUAUUGAAUAGCAGGCAUCUGAUUUUAUCAAAGCUGACAUAUCGCCAUCUUGAUCUGAUUUCUCUAUAAUUCCCUCAACAGGAUUCAAUGUGUACGCAUCAAAUUGUUGUGAGGUCAUGUCUGUUGCACAAGACUGCUGUCAUACUUGAAUAUCAUUGGAUUUGGCUGUAGCAGUUAUAGAGUGACACGAACUAAAAUAAAAUAUCAUAAUACCAGAAAUAGCUGUGGCGAAAAAAAAUGCAUAGUACAUACCAUUAUUUUUGUGUGAUAUUAGCAUUCAUUCCAUUACAUUAAAGAUGACAUACACCAAAUAGUCUAGUCUAGUCUAGUCUAGUAUCGAUCGAUCAUCUGACAAAACAUCUUUCAGAAAAACAUUCACCAAAAACCUGAUUAAACAGUUUUGAAAAGUUGCGAGUUGUAAAAUUAUCACAUGAUCUAGGACCUUUAUGGAAUGCAUGCCAUUGUGAAAACUUGAAAACUAUAUCCUAAGUUUAAUUUUCAUCCAUGCUAAAUUCAACAUGAUUGAAUCUGAUACGAUUAUGGAAUAGCAUGACAUUCAGAGUUUAAUUAACUUUUACAUUUCGACUUUUACAUUCUUUUUUAUUCAAUUGUGUUUGCAUUGCAUUAAGAAUUAAAAAGAAUCUUUAAAUAAUAACUAACAAGACAAAAUUGGCUUUUCUGUUGUCUCUUAAGUUUUGCAAGUUUAACGUGCCAUAUAGUGUUAAUAUAUUUUGUCAUGGUGUAGUAUACAUUAUUCCUUCGAGGUUUUGACCAAUUCCAUUCAGACUCAUAAACUCAUAAAAGGGAGUCAAUUCUGAAUUGCUGAAUGCGUCAGCACUUUCCACACUGCUCUAUUAACCGAAGUCUUUGUCUCUCAAUCUAAGGCUUUAGCAUUUCUUUUCAAAACGGCUGUCAAAAUUUGGCAGAUCUGUGCUGGGUGUGUAGGAUUCAUUGUGCCAUAAAAAAAGAUGUGAUUUUUGAGGGUGGCUUAUCAGUGAGGUCCGGAUAACCCCUUGAUUCAUUCCUGCUGCUCUGAUUCUGAUUAUAAUAGCUAAAUCCCCUCUUCAUUCCUGCCAUAACAAACCUUUGCACUUGCCAGGCUCCUCACUUGGACUGCAAGCUCUCAGCAGGAAUUUUUCACAAGUGGAAUCAGUCAUCAAAGCUUUGUGAUUUGCAGUGACCCAGCGGCGUUUGAUGUGAUUGCAUGAGGACGCUUUGGCUGUCUGCAUGUCAUGAUGUUCAAAUGAUGCGCAAGGCCUAUUUGUCUAGCUACUUGCAGAAUGAAAGCGAUUUACAGAGUGAUUCUUAGGUAAACGGGAGCUGUUCUUCAUUUUCUGCAAUGAUUCUGAAUUUAUUAGCAUGAUGUUAAUAACAGAAGCCUGCAUUUUGCUUUAACACCCUCUUGUAUUUUAUGAAUUUUAAAGACAAGUACAUAGGAUGAUGAAAUAGUUGCACAUUCUGACAAGAGGAUGCAAUGCAUCAAAGAAAGUGAUUUCACAGCCUCUCUUCAAUACAGUGCAAAACUGCAGGAGGUAUAAUAGAGUUGAACUAUACAUAAAUUAUUCAUGGCAU